CGCUGUGCCGCCGAGACUUUGAUUUGCGGCGGGUGACUUGCUUGGGCCUCGGACCGGCCUAAGAGUGCGCGGAGGGUGACCGGCCGUGGCCUUCGGGGGAAGCUUAUUUCUGCUUUUCCGUCCCGAGCAACGUGCUGUGACGCCCCCCUCGGCGCUAGACCGUGGUUCAGCGUGAUCUCCGGAGGCUUCUUUUCCCGCUCAUGCAUGAGCUUCCGUCUGCUUUGUUAGCGCGAUCGGUGGAUGGACUAGAGCGUCCUAUACUACUAAAGAAGCUGCAUACAUCAAGAAUCAAAGGAACUAGUUGGAUUGGGAUUAAAACAUAGUUGAAAGAAGCACAGAAGUAAGUAGGUUUUUUAAAACAUCUUUUUUGACAAUGAAAGUAGAAUGACUUCUAGUAGAAGUAAAUUAUGCUGUUUAAGUUUAUUUUUAUUUUUCUAAAUUCUAGCUUUAUACUUUGAUCAUUGCUUGUUAUUUUUUAAAAUUUUAUAAAUAAAAUUUAUAAGA
rnacentral:lncRNA from 1 species